AACGCUAGCUACAGGCUUAACACAUGCAAGUCGAGGGGAAGCGAUAUUGGAAGCUUGCUUCCGAUAGGCGUCGACCGGCGCACGGGUGAGUAACGCGUAUCCAACCUGCCCACCACUUGGGGAUAACCUUGCGAAAGUAAGACUAAUACCCAAUGAUAUCUCUAGAAGACAUCUGAAAGAGAUUAAAGAUUUAUCGGUGAUGGAUGGGGAUGCGUCUGAUUAGCUUGUUGGCGGGGUAACGGCCCACCAAGGCAACGAUCAGUAGGGGUUCUGAGAGGAAGGUCCCCCACAUUGGAACUGAGACACGGUCCAAACUCCUACGGGAGGCAGCAGUGAGGAAUAUUGGUCAAUGGACGAGAGUCUGAACCAGCCAAGUAGCGUGCAGGAAGACGGCCCUAUGGGUUGUAAACUGCUUUUAUAAGGGAAUAAAGUGAGUCUCGUGAGACUUUUUGCAUGUACCUUAUGAAUAAGGACCGGCUAAUUCCGUGCCAGCAGCCGCGGUAAUACGGAAGGUCCGGGCGUUAUCCGGAUUUAUUGGGUUUAAAGGGAGCGUAGGCCGGAGAUUAAGCGUGUUGUGAAAUGUAGAUGCUCAACAUCUGAACUGCAGCGCGAACUGGUUUCCUUGAGUACGCACAAAGUGGGCGGAAUUCGUGGUGUAGCGGUGAAAUGCUUAGAUAUCACGAAGAACUCCGAUUG
rnacentral:rRNA from 1 species